rnacentral:tRNA from 1 species
GGCUCGGUGGUGUAGUUGGUUAUCACGUCAGUCUAACAACUGUUAGCAACACUGAAGGUCCCGAGUUCAAACCUCGGCUGAGUCA